rnacentral:rRNA from 1 species
CUGCUGCCUUCCGUAGGAGUCUGGGCCGUGUCUCAGUCCCAAUGUGGCCGGCCAACCUCUCAGUCCGGCUACUGAUCGUCGCCUUGGUGGGCCGUUACCCCGCCAACUAGCUAAUCAGACGCGAGUCCAUCUCAGAGCGAUAAGUCUUUGAUGCCCAGUGCCAUGCGACACAGACAUAUUAUGCGGUAUUAGCAGCUGUUUCCAACUGUUAUUCCCCACUCCAAGGCAGGUUAC